UAUUUAAACCUUUUAAAAAUCAGGAAAUCUCUAUAUUACUAUAAUUCCUAUUGAAUUGUGUUCUGUAUAUUCUUAGUGGUGUCGAUCACUAACAUUUGGGGAAAACAUCAAUUCAAUACGCUACGAGGGAAAAAAAGAGAGUCAACUGUCACUCAAGAACUGUCUUAACGUAGUGGUUAUAUUCUCUAUGGAACUGUCAAAUCCCCUUCGUUUAUCUUCUCCCAUUAACAAAAGUCUUCAUCAUAAAGACAUUCAACUUUAAUACCCAGAUUAAUACCUCAGUAAUCUGCAGUCUGAAACAACGUGACAUUGGCGGAAUAGCUUCAUAAUCAAGCUCGUCGCCAGUAAUCAAAGAAGAAGAAGAAGAAGAUAGUAUUGAAGAGCGCUAUCACUCAGAUGGGAUAUAAAAGAGUAUGGGAUGCCAUCAAAUCCAGGAGUAGAAUCUACAGUAUUCUGGACAACACCUUUUAAUUCGUCAAUGUGAAAUGGAAAUAAGUCAUCAGCGGCGGUACAAAGAAUUUUGCUAAAGCUUCAGCACACAUCUGUUCCUUGCCAUUGGUGACCUCGGGAAGAGAAGAAAGCUGACUGUCUACCUUUUUACUAAAUUUCGUCCAGAGUUCACUGCAUUUAUUUGGCAGUUUAUAUUUUAAAAGAGGCUUUUUUGGUGGCACAUUGCUGUAUGGAGAAGGAAAUGUGAUUUUAAUUGGGAAAUGAUCACUGCCAAAUGAAGAGGAUAAAGUAGACCAAGUAAGAAAAGAUGCAAAGUUUGGGGUGCAAAUAGAUAGAUCUAAUGCACUCUGAUUGGUGUUGUUAGGAGUGUUACGACGAGUAGGUGUGCCUGAAUUUAAUACACAUAGGUUGUGCAUAUCUAAUAUCUCCAGAAGCUCUUCACCAUACUGAUUAGAUAUAGAGCUACCCCAAGAUUGAUGAUGACAAUUGAAAUCUCCCAACAACAGGAAAUGUUGGGGAAGAAAGGAUAUAAGGUUAUUAAUUUCAUGAAGUAAAGGAAGUGAAGGGUGAGAGAUAUAAACAGAAACAAGACAAAUGUUAUUGACAUUUAGAGCCACUAUAGAUAUUUCAUCGCUAUGUGAAGGAAGAGAAAUUACUGAAUAUGGCACUGAGUCUUUAAUGAGUAUGGCAGCACCACCAUACCCAUCUUGUCUAUCUUCUCUGAUUAUACUAUAACCAUUAAUUUUGAAGGUAUAGUUUGGUUUGAGCCAUGUCUCAGAAAGAGCAAAAGCCCAUGGCUCAUAUUUAUUAAUUAAAUAAAUUAAUUCACUUUUUAUUGGUUAUACU